rnacentral:lncRNA from 1 species
GACACAGUGUUUUGGGCAACCCAAAAGCAACGUGGUGAUUUCAGUGCCCUGAGUCAGGAAGAAGCCGAUUGCAUUUCUCAAUAUAUCCUGGGGUUAAUGGAUGAGAAGCAAGGAGGAUUUCGAAUCAGAAGGGCAACAGCAACACCCUCCUGCCAUUCUUGAGCACACCGCAGGUUUCCAGUGCUGAGCUAGGCACUCUCUGCAGUUUAUUAACCCACACCAGUUGUUACCCAGUCCCAACAGGUAUGCAAACUUUUUCCCAUUUUAAAGGUGAGGAAACUGAGAUUCGGAGACAUCCCGAGCCUAAGGCUGAGCGGCUGAGAAGUGAGUGAGAUGGGAGCUUGGGUCCUGCCCGUGGCUAUGCCCCGUGGUGGGCCUGGUUCUUGGGAAGAGGCACGGGGUGUGCUCUGCUACCCCAAGGUGACUGGAGGUGUGUGUUCUUUACACCACCACACCCUGGGAUUUGGAAGAUGAAUCAGUCAGGGCUUUUUGUUGUGGGUAACAGGAUAGGAAGUUGAAAAUGAGGGGGCAGCUUGAGAAUCAGAGAGAAAGCAGGAGAGGAGCGGGGCACAAAGGAUGAGAGCCCAGGAGCUCUGAGGGUUUCUUGGCAGAGCUGAUGGAAGGUCUCUGACAGUGCUGGUCAUGGAACAGAGGCCUCAGCCAUGUCCCCUGCUGUUGUCUCUCUGCUCACGAUCCCGAUUCCAGGGAGAGCAGGUGCAGUGGGCUCUGCUGGGGUCUGGCGCCCAUCUCCUGUCUUUGGGAGGGCAGGUGUCUUGAAUGACGAUCCCAUCAGACUGUAUCAAAGUGGGAAAGAGGCCAUUCCCCAGGAAGAAAUCAGGAUGUUGUUACUAACAGAAAGAGGGAGGAGAAUGGGUGUUGUGUUGAGUGGCCAGAAAGCCUGAAAUGUGCAUGAUACCGGGUGUUGGGUGGAAAAGCUAGAAGUUCUCCCAUCCUCUGGCUGUGGGGUGAGACUUUCCUCUCUCUUACAUCUAAGAACCAGAGAUGCAUUUGUAAUUGCAGCAGACCUGAAGACAUUGCUCUGUUGUAGACUGACUGGUCAUUCUGAAAGGUGGCUUUGAGUGACGGGCCAG